GGUCAUGUAGCCAAGUGGCUAAGGCAACAGUCUGCAAAACUGUUAUCGCGGGUUCGAUCCCCGCCAUGACCU
rnacentral:tRNA from 1 species